GACAGAGGGUGCAAACGUUGUUCGGAAUUACUGGGCGUAAAGCGCGCGCAGGCGGCCCGCGAGGUGUCACGUGAAAGCCCCGGGCUCAACCCGGGAGGGUCGUGGCAAACCGGCGGGCUUGAGGCCGGUAGAGGUGGGUGGAACUCCUGGUGGAGUGGUGAAAUGCGUAGAGAUCAGGAAGAACACCCGUGGCGAAGGCGGCCCACUGGGCCGGUACUGACGCUGAGGCGCGAAGGCGUGGGGAGCGAACGGG
rnacentral:rRNA from 1 species